AACGGAUUCUUCGGAAUCUUAUUAAACUGGCGAACGGGUGAGUAACGCGUAGACAACUUGCCCAAAGAUUUGGGAUAACAUCGAGAAAUUGAUGCUAAUACCGAAUAAUAUCACGAGAACCCCGGUUUUUGUGAUCAAAGGUGGCUUCGGCUACCGUCUUUGGAUGGGUCUGCGUCUGAUUAGCUUGUUGGUGGGGUAAAGGCUCACCAAGGCGACGAUCCGUAGCUGGUUUGAGAGGAUGAUCAGCCACACUGGGACUGAGACACGGCCCAGACUCC
rnacentral:rRNA from 1 species